rnacentral:rRNA from 1 species
AGAGUUUGAUCAUGGCUCAGGACGAACGCUGGCGGCGUGCUUAACACAUGCAAGUCGAACGGAGCACCCUUGAUUGAGGUUUCGGCCAAAUGAUAGGAAUGCUUAGUGGCGGACUGGUGAGUAACGCGUGAGGAACCUGCCUUUCAGAGGGGGACAACAGUUGGAAACGACUGCUAAUACCGCAUGACGCAUUUUGAUCGCAUGGUCGAAAUGCCAAAGAUUUAUCGCUGAAAGAUGGCCUCGCGUCUGAUUAGAUAGUUGGCGGGGUAACGGCCCACCAAGUCGACGAUCAGUAGCCGGACUGAGAGGUUGACCGGCCACAUUGGGACUGAGAUACGGCCCAG